GACGAACGCUGGUGGCGUGCUUAACACAUGCAAGUCGGACGGAAAGGCCCUGCUUUUGUGGGGUGCUCGAGUGGCGAACGGGUGAGUAACACGUGAGUAACCUGCCCUUGACUUUGGGAUAACUUCAGGAAACUGGGGCUAAUACCGGAUAGGAGCUCCUGCUGCAUGGUGGGGGUUGGAAAGUUUCGGCGGUUGGGGAUGGACUCGCGGCUUAUCAGCUUGUUGGUGGGGUAGUGGCUUACCAAGGCUUUGACGGGUAGCCGGCCUGAGAGGGUGACCGGCCACAUUGGGACUGAGAUACGGCCCAGACUCCUACGGGAGGCAGCAGUGGGGAAUAUUGCACAAUGGGCGGAAGCCUGAUGCAGCAACGCCGCGUGCGGGAUGACGGCCUUCGGGUUGUAAACCGCUUUCGCCUGUGACGAAGCGUGAGUGACGGUAAUGGGUAAAGAAGCACCGGCUAACUACGUG
rnacentral:rRNA from 1 species